rnacentral:rRNA from 1 species
UACGUAGGGGGCGAGCGUUGUCCGGAGUUACUGGGCGUAAAGCGCACGCAGGCGGUCUGCUAAGUUUGGAGUGACAGUUGGUGGCUUAACUGCCAAAGUGCUUCGAAAACUGAGACUUGAGGGCUUCAGAGGGACACGGAAUUCCGGGUGGAGUGGUGAAAUGCGUAGAGAUCCGGAGGAACACCAAAGGCGAAGGCAGUGUCCUGGGGAGUACCUGACGCUCAGGUGCGAAAGCCAGGGGAGCGAACGGG